UAGUCCCCUUGGACCUAGUUGACCUUGC
rnacentral:piRNA from 1 species